GAUGAACGCUGGCGGCGUGCUUAACACAUGCAAGUCGAACGAAGCACUUUAUUUGAUUUCCUUCGGGACUGAUUAUUUUGUGACUGAGUGGCGGACGGGUGAGUAACGCGUGGGUAACCUGCCUUGUACAGGGGGAUAACAGUUGGAAACGGCUGCUAAUACCGCAUAAGCGCACGGCAUCGCAUGAUGCAGUGUGAAAAACUCCGGUGGUAUAAGAUGGACCCGCGUUGGAUUAGCUAGUUGGUGAGGUAACGGCCCACCAAGGCGACGAUCCAUAGCCGACCUGAGAGGGUGACCGGCCACAUUGGGACUGAGACACGGCCCAAACUCCUACGGGAGGCAGCAGUGGGGAAUAUUGCACAAUGGGCGAAAGCCUGAUGCAGCGACGCCGCGUGAGCGACGAAGUAUUUCGGUAUGUAAAGCUCUAUCAGCAGGGAAGAUAAUGACGGUACCUGACUAAGAAGCACCGGCUAAAUACGUG
rnacentral:rRNA from 1 species